rnacentral:rRNA from 1 species
GAUGAACGCUGGCGGCGUGCCUAAUACAUGCAAGUCGAGCGAACGGACGAGAAGUUUGCUUCUCUGACGUUAGCGGCGGACGGGUGAGUAACACGUGGAUAACCUACCUAUAAGACUGGGAUACCUGCGGGAAACCGGAGCUAAUACCGGAUAAUAUUUUGAACCGCAGGGUUCAAGAGUGAAAGACGGUUUUGCUGUCACUUAUAGAUGGAUCCGCGCUGGAUUAGCUAGUUGGUAAGGUAACGGCUUACCAAGACAACGAUGCGUAGCCGACCUGAGAGGGUGAUCGGCCACACUGGAACUGAGACACGGUCCAGGCUCCUACGGGAGGCAGCAGUAGGGAAUCUUCCGCAAUGGGCGAAAGCCUGACGGAGCAACGCCGCGUGUGUGAUGAAGGUCUUCGGAUCGUAAAACUCUGUUAUUAGGGAAGAACAAAUGUGUAAGUAACUGUGCACGUCUUGACGGUACCUAAUCAGAAAGCCACGGCUAACUACGUG